CAAGUAGUAUUUUACUGGGUGACUUUUACUUGUCAUUUUCUAAGGUAUCUUUACUUUUACUCAAGUACUACAAUUGAGUACUUUUUCCACCACUGUAUUUAACUAUUGAAGGUGUAAUGUUGGGUAAUAAUUUACUUGAAUUGUACAUCAUAACAGAGACAUGACAUUGUCAUGAACAUGUCAUCUGAUGUUGAAUGUCAAUUUUGUCUGCAGGUUUGUGCCAUACAUCGGAAUCGUUACCAUUCUGAUGAAUGACUAUCCCAAAUUUAAGUACGCUGUUCUCUUCCUGCUGGGUCUGUUUGUCCUGGUCCAUCGGGAGUGAGGAAGAGAAUACCUAACUAUCUACCACGGAGGAAGAAUUGUAAAUCCCCACCCCACCAUGCCUUUCAAGACAGAAUUAUGUUGAUUAUGUCAAAUUAAGUUGCUUUUUCUCUACCAUGUGUUUUGAAUUGUGUCUAGAAAUGUGGAUAGUGUUUACAUUAUAUAAAAACAAGCAUUCAUUAUUUUUGUGAGGGAAAUUAGAUAUAAGUUAAGUAGAACAUGAAUCCAACAUUUUAGAUGGUUAAUUGUGUAUUUUGUUUUCACAUUUAAUUAGGUUUUGCUUUGCUUGAUAUAUUGAAUGACAAGUGAUAUGUUUGUGACAUUAAAUAUGACAUCUGUUACCCUCUA